ACAAACUAAAGUCGAACGCCCUCAGGACUGUUAUCCGUUUCCGAAGUCAGAAGCUCUAUCACGAAAGUAACUUUAUUUUUUCCUGACCCCACGAAAGCUGUGGUACAAACUGGGAUUAGAUACCCCACUAUGCUCAGCCUUAAACUUUGAUAGUCCACUACAACCCCUAUCCGCCCGGGAAACUACAGGCACCAGCUUAAAACCCAAAGGACUUGGCGGUGCUUUAGACCCACCUAGAGGAGCCUGUUCUAGAACCGAUAAUCCCCGUUAAACCUCACCCUCUUUUGCUCUUUCCCGUCUAUAUACCGCCGUCGUCAGCCUACCCUGUGAAGGUCGAGUAGUAAGCGAAAUUGGUACAACCCUAAACGCCAGGUCGAGGUGUAGCGGAUGAGAGGGGAAGAAAUGGGCUACAUUUCCUAAUACAGGAAACACGGAGAAAUACACUGAAACGAGUAUUUGAAGGAGGUCUAGCAGUAAGUAAAAAACAGAGUGUUUUACUGAAACUGGCCCUGAAGCGCGCACACACCGCCCGUCACUCUCCCCAAACUACCUAAAAAUAUAUUACCCCACGAAGGGGAGGCACGUCGUUUCAUGGUAAGUGUACCGGAAGGUGUACUUGGAUAAAUCAGGGCUUAGCUAAA
rnacentral:rRNA from 1 species